rnacentral:rRNA from 1 species
GACGAACGCUGGCGGCGUGCUUAACACAUGCAAGUCGAACGGAAAGGCCCUGCUUUUGUGGGGUGCUCGAGUGGCGAACGGGUGCGUAACACGUGAGUAACCUGCCCUUGACUUUGGGAUAACUUCAGGAAACUGGGGCUAAUACCGGAUAGGAGCUCCUGCUGCAUGGUGGGGGUUGGAAAGUUUCGGCGGUUGGGGAUGGACUCGCGGCUUAUCAGCUUGUUGGUGGGGUAGUGGCUUACCAAGGCUUUGACGGGUAGCCGGCCUGAGAGGGUGACCGGCCACAUUGGGACUGAGAUACGGCCCAGACUCCUACGGGAGGCAGCAGUGGGGAAUAUUGCACAAUGGGCGGAAGCCUGAUGCAGCAACGCCGCGUGCGGGAUGACGGCCUUCAGGUUGUAAACCGCUUUCGCCUGUGACGAAGCGUGAGUGACGGUAAUGGGUAAAGAAGCACCGGCUAACUACGUG